rnacentral:misc_RNA from 1 species
AUAAUUUUUUUUUUUUUUAAAUAAGGCAAAAGUUGCUGAUUUUGUUUGUGGGAAUGGAUUCAUCUUUCUAUUGUGGACGAGACACAAGUAUAGUGGAGAAUCAGAGUGCACAAUUGAAAUCCACAUGUGAAUCCACAUCAACGCUUGUUUCUUAUAUUUAUAGGCAUAUGUGCUCAAUCAGGAUUUUUUUUUUUUUCCCUUUAUUGGGUUUAGAAUUCACAAAUUUUGUUGUAUUUACCGCCAAUUAAUUAACUUUAUCUUUG